AGCCUGUGAUGAUUAAAUCAAAUUACUUUUCUGACAUCUACUAUGAGAGCUGGUCUCCAGCUCCUGAUUCUAUCUUUAUUCUGAGGCUG
ensembl:snoRNA